CCCAUUUCCGUUUCUUCUCCCCACAUGAGUCACGAGGGCGGCAGCGGCGGCGACGGCGAGAUGGCCCUCCUCCCCGGCCAUCCGCAGCCGGCGGCGCCGCUGGAAGACGAGGACGUCCUGGGCCAGAUCCUCGUCCGCCUGCCCCCGCUGCCCUCCUCGCUCGUCCGCGCCGCCGCCGUCUCCAGGCACUGGGGGCGCCUCGCCGCGGACCGCGCCUUCCUCCGCCGCUUCCGCACCCACCACCGGAGGCCCCCCGUCCUCGGCGUCUUCGAGAUGCGCGGCGGGGAGCUGGUGUUCACCCCGCUCCUCGACGCCCCCGACCGGAUCCCGCGCGAGCGCUUCUCCAUGCGGUUCUGGCACGUGCUCGGCUGCUGGACCCUGCUCGGGUACCGCCACGGCCGCGUCCUCCUCGUCAACCUGGAUCUGGCCCUGCUGCUUGUUUUCGCCCCUCUCGCCGGCGGCCGCCGCCGCCUCCGCGCCGCGGUAAUUCCGCCGGAUUUCGUCGACGGCGAGUGCGCCGUCGCCAACGGGGCGGUGCUCUGCGCUGCCGGUGACGAGCAGGGGCACGUGCACGGAGACUGCCACUCGGGCCCCUUCAAGGUGGUUCUGGUGGCCACCGGAGUGAGACACCCGGUCAUAGCCCGGGUCUACUCCUCAGACACCGGUGAGUGGGGAGAUCUCGUCGUAAUGGCGGAACCAUGUGUUGUUAGCAAGUUCCCCUCCACCCUCAUCGGCAAUGCUCUUUACUGGUGGCUAAACAAGUGUCAGCAAGAGGAUGGCAUACUCAAGUUCGAUUUGGAUAGCCAGACACUAUCUCUGGUCAAGAGGCCUAUUUUUGAUGGCAUUCCCAGUUGCAGAAUCCGGAUCAUCAGGGGAGAGCAUGGCGGUGUUGGCCUUGCCGUAUAUUCGUACAUGAGAUUCCAAAUCUGGGAACGCAUGGUCAAUAGUCAUGGUACUGCCAUAUGGGUGCUGCGAAAGACCGCUCGCAUGCAUAGUAUGCUUCAGUAUUCUAUGCUGACUAUAGUAGGGUACUCCGAGGAUGGCGAUGCGCUUCUUCUAACAGUGUCCUUCGGUGGUGUGCCCACCUACAGCUUCAUGCUUCAACUUGAGUCAAUGGAGUGGACGAAUCUUAAUCAAACAUUUUUGGAUUGUUCCUACCAUCCGUUCGCAUACUUCUAUACUGCAGGUACUGUCAGAGCGUCAAGUACCGCUCCAGCCAUUGAGCCACCACAGCAGCGAAGUACAAUUCCAGCCAUUGUGCCACCACAACAGUGAAGUCCAGCCAUUCCACAGCUGCGGGGUAAAACCAUAAAUUGUGGUCGCAUGAUUUAGUUGAUCAGUAGGAUUUGCAUCUGCAGCAGAGGCAUAUGUUGUUUAUAGGAUUUUUAAAUUCGUCUUGUAUAUGAAGACCAUAGAAAGUGUAAAAUGAAAAUUUGGAUUUGGUCUCUUAACAGCACUUGGUGGUACGAGUUGAAUCAUAGAACAGGAGGCAGGUAAGUACAGGGGACAGGUAAGCAUUGUUAUUAUGAUCUGUUUGUAGCUUCCUAAAAAUGAGUGUACUGUCAUGGUCAUUUGACACAAUGAAGAAAAAAUAAAGGAGUGUAGGCUGAUAGAAGUCGUAAUUGUGAGUUGGCACCUUGCUUUCAAUAAAAUUUCAUCUCAUUGCUCCUUAUUUGUACGACAGCAAUACAUAUCAGCAAAAUAAAAGGAUGUUUAUUAGCCAGUUUUAGACGUGGUGGCAUAAUAUCAGUAAAAACUAAAGAAUGCUACUAUUCAUCAGAUUUUCCUUUUGUGAAUAUUUGCGUUGCCUUUUUUGGACCAUAACUUUUUGUUCUUUGGCAGAUGCAUAGUGUGCUACUCCCUCCGUCCGAAAAAGCUUGUCCCUCAUAUGGAUGUAUCUAGCACCAAGUUAGUGCUAGAUACAUCCAUUUGAGAAACAAGUUUGGGACAAGUUUUUCCGGACGGAGGGAGCACUACAAAAUAUUUACUUGAUCCUUGAUUGAAAUACUUCUAUGAACUGAGAUCUUGCGCUCUGCUUUUACCAAUCAGCCUGUUUGCUUCUUUUCUUACAUCUACUUUAAUUAUACAUUUCUGGAUUUGGUGCUUUGAUUUGCUGCAGUUUCCUUAAUUCAGUAGAUGCAUGAUGUGCAUCAAGACGCUGGAUUUCAUGAUCGGUUUUCCAUCUCACAUCAAUAGUUUAGGCCACUAUUUGUUUAUCCAUGCAUUUUAGGUAAACAUUGGUGUAGACUUGGUUGUUUUUUUUUGGUUGUUUGUGGUAUCCAUUUUCCCCUACACUAGGUAAUUGCCCGUGCGUUGCAACUUGCAACGGAGGCAUACAAAAUGUACCACUAAAAUUUUAGUUAGUUUUUUACAUAACAACCAUGAUUUACCUUUAUUGUUAAUAUGAACCUUGAUUUACCAUCUAUUUAUUGUUAAUGUGACUGCAUACUAACUGAUGCAAUUAGCAAGUGUUAAGUGAUAACCUCUGGAAUAUCAGUUGUGGGAAAGUGCAGCACAAAUUAAUCCUAAUUUAAUUCUUUCCCCAACCUGCUUGGUCCUACAACAGGCAAACAUUAGGUUGCUAGCAACAAAAUGAUAUGCAAGGAACAAAUUGCAACCCCACAGAAGAGAAAAAAGGGCUCUUUACCUUCUAUCCUCCCAAUCUGCAAAAUAAAUAGAAUUGAGACAUAUCGUGCCAAUUCAAUUACUAAAGCUCAUGUCCAAUUUUGGAAGCUAAUGGCCAAGUAGUUGGCAAUUUUGUUUCUGAAGAGAAAUGCAUUGGUGCAAUUUUGUCCACUUUUGAUCAUUCCCUCUUAACAAAAAUGCCAGUGAUGUUUCUCUGAAUUUAGUAUACUGACCAUUUCAGCAGCAUAAUUUCUCUAAGUGACCAUGCAGUAUUCAGUGACUUUUCUAGAUGACUAAUAUGCAGCAUGCAUGGAUGGCUGGGAGACUGGGCAGAGAGAGUUUGUCAUGAAAACUGUUUUUUGCUUUAACUUUUACUUUGUUGUGUUUCCUCUGUCCAUUCUUUCCUCAGUUAAAACUUCACUGCCAAAAACCAGAUUACCUCCUUCCAUGAUCUGCAGAAAGGCAUAAGAAUACUGAAGUGUCACCAGACUGAGAGAUGCAAAGUACCAACUGCAUAAAAUCUGUGUGUCCAAAUCGUUUAGUUAUGGCAAUUACAAAUUUAGUUGUUUAAUAUAUACAAUAAGAAAUUCAGUGUUCUACCAAUUACAUCAAAUUAGUAGUCAGUUUAUCCCAUGCAGUGCACAGGAAAAUGUCAAAACAAAGGAGAGGAUGAGGCCGUCUACCUUGCAGAGGAGCAAGCCCGUACUUGCUGCUGCCGGUCUUGGCGCCGCCUCCGUGUAGGUGGAGUUCGUGGAGGUCGAGAUCUGCGAGAUCCCCAGAGUGGCGCAUGGCAUAAGAGCAUCAAAAGAAUUCAGAGGAGGGGCUGUGAAUCGAACAUAGAAGAAUCAAAUCUUUUGCUUGUGGCGCCGGAUCAUGAGCCCUCGGCGCCAAUCGGCCGGUGCCCCAUCGGCCUCUCUGGGUCAAUGACGUAGCAGACUGAUGAGAAGGCAGAGCCAGCAGGCGAGGAGGUCAAUGUAAGGAACUGGGGGGUGGCGGUGUCGCGCAGUGCGUUUUUGGGUAGCUCGGACAUCGAAGUGGCACCAGCGAGUCGAGGAGAGGAAGGAGGUGUUGAGGUGUGGGGUGGCAGCUGGCUGCAGCGGGUGUCCGGGAGCGGUAGGCGUGGCGGUGGAGAACAGGGUAAGGGGAUUUAGGGUUGAAGAGUGGUGCGGGAUGGAAAGAUGAGAGAGGUGGGCGAUGGAUUCUGCUGGACUUUUUUUUUCCUUGCGCGGGUUCUUUUGCUAUCUAGAAAACCGAGUGGGGGAGAGGAGCGGCACGAGGCAGGAUGUGAAACGGAAGAGGCGGACGAAAAGAACAAGCAAUCCAUAACUGGUAUGCAGGGUUACUUGGCAUGUCAAAGAAGCACAAUCCAUAACUGCUCCUGCAAGCAUCUCAGAUCUUGUAGGCUUGUGAAGGUGAGCGCCCUGUUGGCAAAAUAGGGCAUGCGGUCUUCUUAUGUCAAACCCUUGUUAAUCAAUUUGCAUCGUGGAAUGUCUUGAUGAAUGUACAUAUCUGGAAGGUUACUCUGUUCUGCUGGUGCAGGCUGGAAUGCUGUUAUAUCCUGUCAAGUUUUUGUUGUGCCUAUGUGCCCAACUCACACUGGGCCUGAAAAUCACAAUGCAUCUCUUUUUUUUACUGUAAAUUACAGUAAAAUUUAACAUUUGAACCGAAAAACUCUGAAGCCGAAAUGGGCAGUGAAAUUGUCUUUAAAUGUUGCGAUGCAAGCACGCUGUUGAAAAGAAUUGCAUGGGAAUCGUAAUGUUCAUCUUCCUCUACAAAAGCGUAUUUAUCAGAAGUGAAUGUCGUGUGUGGGCGCAGACCGGGGCAAAGCAUUUGAGCGCCCUUCUCCCAUUGUAAUUUCCUUUUGCCCCGGCUGGUCGUUGCCACUCGUACCUAUCCCUAUGUAUUUGUUUUUCAUCUCUUAACAUAUGACAUGCAGUCUUACAUGCUUGAAAAAAGAAGAAAACAAUUGCAUGGGAGGCCAUCGCCGAAUGGAAGGGUUGAAGCUUAUCAGUUUGUUUUGCUUGAGAUGGACGAUUUAAAGUGAAGACGAGCUGCAGCGAAUUGUUAACUUUCAGGGAUUAUGUGCAUGCCAAGGAUAUGUUGCCUGCUUUUCGUCUGGUUUGGCAUCAGGAUGUUUUUUAUUAAUCUGUGAUAUUAAUCAUAAUAAAAGGAAAUGUUAUCUUUUA